rnacentral:misc_RNA from 1 species
UACGUAGGUGGCAAGCGUUGUCCGGAAUUAUUGGGCGUAAAGCGAACGUAGGCGGUUACUUAAGUUUGGUCUUAAGGACCGGGGCUCAACCCCGGGAAUGGACUGAAUACUGGGUGACUGGAGGAUGUCAGAGGAAAGUGGAAUUCCAAGUGUAGCGGUGAAAUGCGUAGAUAUUUGGAGGAACACCAGUGGCGAAAGCGACUUUCUGGGGCAUUCCUGACGCUGAGGUUCGAAAGCUCGGGGAGCAAACAGG